GAAUAUAAUAACAAUGUCUCUGUGACACAGCAAAUUAGGAUAACGUGUCAACAAACAGUUGCUAGUCGAUGCUAGCUGACAAGGAGCAACAUGGCCCCCUGAAUGUGAAUCAGCUGUGGUGACUUCUGCUCUGCAAUGUGGAUGUUGUGGCACCGGUGACUAACAGAGGUGAUGGCGCUGACUGGUGCAGCAGUGAGCUUUUGAAGGACGAACAGUUUCACUUCCUCCUGCGUAGGCUGAACUUAUCCAUGAUGGGCUUUGUAACCAGUAUGGAAAAUCAGAGCGGACUCAAGCCAGGAACCUAAUCUUGUGUGUGAGCAGCUUUCUCUUUGCAGUAUGGAAUUGGGAGUCAUCUUGUCCACUAGAGGGCCUCCUGUCUACCUGUUCUUCGUCUGCACUUCGCUUCAUCAGUGUCCAGGAGGCGGCGGCAUGAUCGAGGUGUCGCUCCCUGCCUGGGUGCUCUGCCGUGCCGCGUCUGUCCAUCUGUCAAGCAUAAAGGCCCAUCAAUCAAACAGCUGAAUGCAGGGCAGUCUUGAUGGCUCCAAUAUGGCGGGAAUAUUGACAUGCGAGACAACAGGCAAUGAGGAA